UCGUCCUCCUGCCAUGGCAGUUUAAACAAUGGAGCAAUUUUAUUAAAUCCCUCUCCACCUCUGUCCACCCAGCAGAAGCAGUAUAAUAAAUAAGUGCACCAAAUACGCUGACGGGGAUACAACACUCUAUGCGCACCUCGAGCCUCAUACGACAUCAGCUGCCAACAUCGACUUCAAGCGGUGCACCGAUGGAACGUCAACAUGUUUUUUUGCAAAAUGACGCGCGGUUGAAUGCAAGCAAAUUAGAGUCCAUGUUCAUAGGCCCGGCUGCGCAGGUAAAGAAGACGAUCACAGUGGAUCUCUGCCGCCAGCGCCACUACUGCCCCUCUCCAGAUAUGUGAAGAUGGCUGAAGAGGCCAAUCCGAGCCCGGAAUUCCCUGUGGCACACUGGACAGGUCAGGGAGGAUGUAGAGCUCUGAGGUGCAGCCACACGUCCUUCCUUGGUAGAUUUGCGCUGCUGCCUCUUCAAGAUAGCACAGGAGCGUCUCCUACUCUCACAGAGGACUGCACCGUCCUGUACUUUUCUUCUCCAGGCAGGUCUGCCGACGAUUGAACGCGUAAUUCGGAGGCGACAGCUAGCUGUCGUUACUUGGACACGGUGCCCGUCUCGAUGCAUCAACCCCCGGGCACGCUGCGGACUGCGGUCGGUGGUCGAUGUUUCGAGUGGCCACGCAGGAACGGACGUCGUCGCCUUGGUCGCCCCCAGCAACGCACGGAUCGGACAAAAGAAACCCACGUCGCCGCAAUGUUGUGCGAGAGAGGACUUCGCAUGGGAGGUCACGCGACUGGCGCAGCGGUCAUUUUCGUGAUGAUUGACUCAAUGAGUAUUUUUUUUUUAAAACGAGAGAUAGACUUCCAUUACUUCCUUUGCAAAACAAAAAGACGUUGUGUUCGUUCAUCAACCCAGUCUUUUGGAAUUGAGUUACCAAGCAAGAUAGUCAGCUUUGCUAAACAAAUGUUAAUUGUUUACCAGAUGUUGUUGCCCUCUCUCUACGCCAUGGUUAAUCAACAUUGUACAAUAGCGCACAUUGCACUGCAAUGGAGCACUGAGGAUAAUACGUGAACACAUUAAUACAUUCAUAAUUUCUGCAUAAAAUACCAUCUCUUGAUUGAUCAGCCUAUUAUCCACUCCAACAUUAAAAUCAGAAAUAUAACAGGAACUAGCAUAUGGCAACUGUAUCAGGGGGCUAGGCUGACUUGUCAUUGCCUCGUGGCUGCAUGCCAAUGGACCAGUUUGUAUGGGGCCAACAGUUUUAAUUCCCAUAGGCACCCAACAUUUUACGGGGCAUUGUCAACUUUCGUCAUUCACUGAAAGCAAACGUCAAAGGCUAUCUUACAUUCUUUUCCAUCCCAGACCAUUGUUUUCCAAUGUAAUUACUCCGAUUUCUGAAGUUAGAAAUUGGUUGUGGCAUCACAUUAAAAUUAAAACGUCUCUCUAUUUGGAAACUGGAUAUCACUAUACAAAACACGUACUAUCUCUUCUUGGUUCUUUCGGUAAAGUCACGUAGAAUGGAAAUAAUAAAAUAAUAAAAUAAAACAUAACCAUUUUUUAUUCUCUAUUCAAAGCAAACGUAAUCAAUCCACACUUUAAAACAUAUUCCAAGCAACGAGAUGAAUUCUUACAA